rnacentral:tRNA from 1 species
CGGGGCGUGGCGCAGCCUGGUAGCGCACCUGCUUUGGGAGCAGGGGGUCGCUGGUUCGAAUCCGGCCGCCCCGA